GGAUUUGACAUGCACAAGGCUUUUGACUGGUGUGCUGCUGAGGCAUUCAAAGCAGAAUGGAAGAAAAUGUCCAAGAAAACUUCAGUUUAAGAUGCUUCGGAAUUAGCCCAGUACGUGUUUUCAUUGCUGAGGGGGCACAGGAUAAUGCUGCUAUCAGCUUCGUUAUUUACUUCAUCUCUGGCUCACUCAGCAGCUGCUUCCUUGAAUCAACAUGUCCCUACCAAAUUAUGGAAUUUUUCCUAGGAAACCUUCCAGCUCUCACCCAACAGGAAAAAAAUUAAAAGCAGCAGCUCCUUCCUUUCAUCCUGAUGGCUACCAGCAAAGGGAAAUACUGGGAACACUGGUAGUAGCAGUGGGCAACAUUUCUGCUAGAUUAGUAACAGCCCUGCACUAGCCUGAGCCACUCACUGCCACAGGUCAAGUUAUUAGAGGAGGAACCGUCUUGCAGGGUGACCCUGCAGCUGGCUGCUCACUUGCAGGAGUUACUCCUAAAAACCCUGUGACACUCUAGCAUUUCUGUUUUUCCAUAUUAUUAGGGUAUGAUGGACCCAAAAGUGAAUAUGAGAUUCGUUCUUAUGGUAUGAGGGACUUGCUUUGGUAUCUGCUGCAGGGAUAUUGGCAAAGUGGAAUUUUUAAAGGCACUGAAUGACACAUGAAAAGAGGUAGCUCGGGUUGCAUCCAGCUGAAAUUCAAGUGUUCAGACUGAUGCAGCUGCAAACAUCCGUUUAAACCUUUAACUGAGUUGCUAAAAUCCUUGGAAGAAAUCAGCUAGAAUUACACCUUCCCUGCGAAAUAGCAGCAAUUAGGACAGACGCCCUCCUCUAACUCUGAGCCAGGCAGCUUGGGUGACAAAUAUGUCAAAUUAAUACAUCACCAGUGAGAAUGAAGAAAAAUUGCGGAAGUCGGGCAGUUUGGUGGAAGAGAAGCAUCAGGAGUUCAAUGCGAAGACGGGAUGAUUCAUGAGGCCAAGCUGGUGGAAGGGUGAAGGAGGACGAAUGCAGAAAACUUGGAGGGCCCUCUCUCUGGUGACCUUGGCAGCAAAAGGGGAAAAAAAUACCAGAAAAUGAAAGUGACUGUCAACUCCCAACAGGGAUGGAUCACACCAUAAAUCAAGCCUUGCCCUGAGAGAGAGGAGAGGGGCUUAGGGUGGGGGGCGGAAGCCGUUGGGUAAUUUAACUCUUUGAACCUUGGAUGCCUUUUAUUCCUAGUUUAGCGAGUUGGUAAAACAUAUGUGAGCCCCUUCCUUUG